CCAAAGUUGACCCCGUUUCUACCAGUGUGAAAUAGCUUUGUGCACAGUGCUGGAAGCUAAAACGUACUAACCAUGGUCUUUGAAACUCUAAACAUUAUUAAUGUCCCUUUGAAAAAGAGCUUUUCCCCACAAGGGUGAAAGACAUGUUAAAUUGGUACUUCUCAACAGAUGUGUAGGGAGGUUGUUGGUAUAAAAACUAAGGUUUGGGAUCAGCGUGGAAAUAUUAGAAAUGAUGGGCCAGUAAACACUUCUAGGUUCUUCCGGUGAAUUCCAGCAGGAUAAAGUUUUUUUGCCCAGACACUACAGCAGAACAAGGGAAAGAACAGAGAAGAAGAGAUCCUGAAAUUCCAGUGCUGGAAUUCAUCCACUCAACCCGGUCAACUCCAUCUUGAAACUCUACCCUGUGGAUUCGUUUCAUGAAUGAUGACCCCAAGACCAAAGACCAGGGAAUCCUCAAAGAAGGAGAUGAAAUUCUCCAAGGACACGUGAUCAAGGACCCAGUAGAGAGGCGACGUGAAGAGCUGCCGUACCUGUGUGGCAGUUCCUCUUUGUUUUGUAUCCAGUGACCUGAUCAUUCUCAUCAGUGAUGGUGCAACUCUCCUCCAGCCGCAGUGUCUGGAACUCAUCAAGGUGACCUAGGCGGACAUACCUGCAAACAGGGUUUUUUGUCAAUCAGUAAACCCCUGUAAAUCAGACUCAUAAACCAAAGGGUUUUGGAAAUCUCUGACACUGGAAAGCUGACAAGUAGAGAAUAAAAAGGAUAAAGUUCUCAUCUCUACAGAAGUGAGAAAAAAACAACCCACCUCUGUGGACUUCAUUCAUCAUUACCACAGUCUGUAUCUCCUUUUAUUUUUUCUAUUUAUGUUUAACUUUGUCUUAUUCCAAGAAGCAUUGUAGGCAAUAUAUGAGAAUUGGAGAAAUGCAAGAUUCUAAUGCUACCCUGUAGGGCCUGGGCCUUGCUUGCUCAGCAAAAGCCCCCAGGCCCAUUGCAACCAUGUGUCCUUCUGGCUUCCUGCUGGGCAGGGAGCCCAGCUGCUGGGAUUUGUAACGAUCUGGGCCUGGCCAGCCUGGAUCCCCCCUUAUCCCACGAGAAGAACAUCGAGUCUUACAGGAAGACAG
rnacentral:lncRNA from 1 species